CUUGGCUUUAAAAAAAAUUCUGUCCUUUGCCAGAUCUGAAAAUGCUGCCAACCUGGAAGAAAAAGAACCCAUUUUUCUAAACAACCUCAUUUAGUAAUUUCCAUGAAAUUGACAUUUUAGAACUAUGACAAAAAGCCAAAUUAAAACUCAGGGGUUCCUAAUCCCUAAAUUCUGAGUCCGUUUUAAGAAAUACCUAAAAUACACUUUAAAACGAACCAAUUAAUAUAAUUACCGUGGGUUUAAAUAACACAUACACACUGGAUUUGUUUCUGUAAAACACAGCUGUUCUGUUAUUUACAUUUUGCUAUUUUUUAAAUUAGAAAUAUGGCUUUAUAUAUUGUACAUAUAUGUAAAGUAACUUUUUAAAAAGAGUGAAUCUGUUGUCUUCUGCCAUCAUUACAUUAAAAAAAAAAAAACCCAACCACCCUACAGCCAAUUAACUUGGAAAUCUUAUAUUCAAGCUUCUGAAUAUUACUGCGGUUGUAGCAAGGGAAGCAGCACAUCCAGGUAGUUAAUGUAGAAGAAACAGGGCACAGGCAGCAACUUGCAUCCCCUGGCAAUUCACAUGGUAAUUUCUUCGCUUCCACUCUCAGGCUCACUCCACCUUGCUUCACCAACCCCCCUCCCCCUAAGACACGAGGCACCCUCUGGGCCACGGAAGGUGCCAUGCGGGGAGACGCCGGAAGAGCGGGGGCAGAGUGCACGGUUCCCACACCCUUAGCCGCGGGCGGCCGCCGCGGGCCCCAG
rnacentral:lncRNA from 1 species